AGUCGAACGAAGUAGCAAUACUUAGUGGCAGACGGGUGAGUAACAUGUAGGUAUCUGCCCUUUGGCCUGGAAUAACACGAGGAAACUUGUGCUAAUACCGGAUAAGUCUUUACGGAGAAAGCUUUAUGCACCAUUGGAUGAGCCUGCACUUGAUUAGUUUGUUGGUGGGGUAAUGGCCUACCAAGACUGUGAUCAAUAGCUGAUUUGAGAGGAUGAUCAGCCACAUUGGGACUGAGACACGGCCCAAACUCCUACGGGAGGCAGCAGUGGGGAAUCUUGCACAAUGGAGGAAACUCUGAUGCAGCGAUGCCGCGUGAGUGAAGAAGGCCUUUGGGUUGUAAAGCUCUUUCGUCGGGGAAGAAAAUGACUGUACCCGAAUAAGAAGGUCCGGCUAACUUCGUGCCAGCAGCCGCGGUAAUACGAAGGGACCUAGCGUAGUUCGGAAUUACUGGGCUUAAAGAGUUCGUAGGUGGUUGAAAUAGUUGGUGGUGAAAUCCCAGAGCUUAACUCUGGAACUGCCAUCAAAACUUUUCAGCUAGAGUAUGAUAGAGGAAAGCAGAAUUUCUAGUGUAGAGGUGAAAUUCGUAGAUAUUAGAAAGAAUACCAAUUGCGAAGGCAGCUUUCUGGAUCAUUACUGACACUGAGGAACGAAAGCAUGGGUAGCGAAGAGGAUUAGAUACCCUCGUAGUCCAUGCCGUAAACGAUGUGUGUUAGACGUUGGAAAUUUAUUUUCAGUGUCGCAGGGAAACCGAUAAACACACCGCCUGGGGAGUACGACCGCAAGGUUAAAACUCAAAUGAAUUGACGGGGACCCGCACAAGUAGUGGAGCAUGUGGUUUAAUUCGAAGAUACGCGCAGAACCUUACCAACACUUGACAUGUUCGUCGCGACUCUAAGAGAUUAGAGUUUUCGGUUCGGCCGGACGAAACACAGGUGCUGCAUGGCUGUCGUCAGCUCGUGUCGUGAGAUGUUGGGUUAAGUCCCGCAACGAGCGCAACCCUCACUUUUAGUUGCCAUCAUUAAGUUGGGCACUCUGAAAGAACUGCCAGUGAUAAGCUGGAGGAAGGUGGGGAUGACGUCAAGUCCUCAUGGCCCUUACGUGUUGGGCUACACACGUGCUACAAUGGUAUCUACAACAGGAAGCAAGACUGCGAAGUUAAGCAAAUCCCUAAAAGAUACCUCAGUUCGGAUUGCACUCUGCAACUCGAGUGCAUGAAGCUGGAAUUACUAGUAAUCGUGGAUCAGCGUGCCACGGUGAAUGCGUUCCCGGGUCUUGUACACACCGCCCGUCACACCAUGGGAGUUGGUUCUACCUUAAG
rnacentral:rRNA from 1 species